AUACGUAGGGGGCAAGCGUUGUCCGGAAUUAUUGGGCGUAAAGGGCGCGCAGGCGGCCAAUUAAGUCGGAUGUGAAAGGUCACGGCUCAACCGUGGAGUUGCAUCCGAAACUGGUUGGCUUGAGUUCAGGAGAGGAGAGUGGAAUUCCCGGUGUAGCGGUGAAAUGCGUAGAGAUCGGGAGGAACACCAGUGGCGAAGGCGGCUCUCUGGCCUGACACUGACGCUGAGGCGCGAAAGCGUGGGUAGCGAACAGGAUUAGAUACCCUGGUAGUCCACGCCGUAAACGAUGAGUGCUAGGUGUUGGGGGCUUCCACGCCCUCUGUGCCGAAGGAAACCCAAUAAGCACUCCGCCUGGGGAGUACGGCCGCAAGGCUGAA
rnacentral:rRNA from 1 species